rnacentral:rRNA from 1 species
UCCCUAGUAGCGGCGAGCGAGCGGGAAGAGCUCAAAUUUAUAAUCUGGCACCUUCGGUGUCCGAGUUGUAAUCUCUAGAAGUGUUUUCCGCGUUGGACCGCACACAAGUCUGUUGGAAUACAGCGGCAUAGUGGUGAAACCCCCGUAUAUGGUGCGGACGCCCAGCGCUUUGUGAUACACUUUCAAUGAGUCGAGUUGUUUGGGAAUGCAGCUCAAAUUGGGUGGUAAAUUCCAUCUAAAGCUAAAUAUUGGCGAGAGACCGAUAGCGAACAAGUACCGUGAGGGAAAGAUGAAAAGCACUUUGGAAAGAGAGUUAACAGUACGUGAAAUUGUUGGAAGGGAAACGCUUGAAGUCAGACUUGCUUGCCGGAGCUUGCUUCGGUUUGCAGGCCAGCAUCAGUUUUCCGGGGUGGAUAAUGACGGUUUGAAGGUAGCAGUCUCGGCUGUGUUAUAGCUUUCCGUUGGAUACAUCCUGGGGGACUGAGGAACGCAGCGUGCUUUUUGCGAAAGACUCGUCUUUUUCACGCUUAGGAUGCUGGUGGAAUGGCUUUAAACGACCCGUCUUG